rnacentral:Y_RNA from 1 species
GGCUGGUUCUAGUGCAGUGGUAUUUACAACUAAUGAUGACAACCAGUUAUAGAUUUCUUUGUUCCUUCUUCACUCCUGCAGGUUCACUUAACUAGCCUUUA